rnacentral:rRNA from 1 species
AACUGGGGAUGCAAGCGUUAUCCGGAAUCACUGGGCGUAAAGCGUCUGUAGGUGGUGAUGCAAGUCACUGGUGCAAAACUCUGGCUCAACCGGAGGAAAGCCAGUGAAACUGCAUGACUAGAGUGUGGGAGAGGUAGAAGGAAUUCCCUGAGUAGCGGUGAAAUGCGUAGAUACAGGGAAGAACACCGGAGGCGAAAGCGUUCUACUGGAACACAAAUGACACUGAGAGACGAAAGCUAGGGGAGCGAAUGGG